AUGUGAUCGUCUCUCGCAUAUCAAUAAGCGGAGGAAAAGAAACUAACAAGGAUUCCCCUAGUAACGGCGAGUGAAGCGGGGAAGAGCUCAAAUUUGAAAUCUUAAAGGGUUUCCCUUUACGAAUUGUAGUUUUAAAGAAGUGUUUUCUGUUGAGGUUUUGGUUAAAAGUUCUUUGGAAUAGGACAUCAUAGAGGGUGAGAAUCCCGUAUUUGACCUUUACUUUCAACUUUGUGAUACACUUUCAAAGAGUCGGAUUGUUUGGGAAUGCAGUCCAAAAUGGGUGGUAAAUUUCAUCUAAAGCUAAAUAUUGGCGAGAGACCGAUAGCGAACAAGUACCGUGAGGGAAAGAUGAAAAGAACUUUGAAAAGAGAGUUAAACAGUACGUGAAAUUGUCAAAAGGGAAGCGUUUGACACCAGUGUUGUUUUUUCUGAAAAUCAAUUAAAGAACUGUUUAUGCUAAGUUGUUUAGACUUUAUCAGCUAACUGUUUAGUUUUGAGCUUUUCUUUAAUGCACUUUUCAGUUAACAAGUCAACAUCAAUUUCUUUUGCUGUAAAAAAGCUUGAGGAAGGUGGCUUGAGAUUCGUCUUAAGUGUUUAUAGCCUCUUGCCUAUGCAGUCGGAGAGAUUGAGGUCUGCAGCGUAGAUCCUUCGGGGCUAAAUGCAUUUGUGCUAAGUUAUAGCAUUUUAUAGACAACUUGUUGACUAUGAUUUGUCUUGUAGCUUACUCGCUUAUGUUAUUUUACCUACGCUUAGGAUGUUGACUGAUAUGUAGUCGUA
rnacentral:rRNA from 1 species